UACGUAGGGUGCAAGCGUUAAUCGGAAUUACUGGGCGUAAAGCGUGCGCAGGCGGUUCUAUAAGACAGAUGUGAAAUCCCCGGGCUCAACCUGGGAACUGCAUUUGUGACUGUAGAGCUGGAGUGCGGCAGAGGGGUAUGGAAUUCCGCGUGUAGCAGUGAAAUGCGUAGAUAUGCGGAGGAACACCGAUGGCGAAGGCAGUCCCCUGGGCCUGCACUGACGCUCAUGCACGAAAGCGUGGGGAGCAAACAGG
rnacentral:rRNA from 1 species